ensembl:lncRNA
GAGGCCGACACUUCCUGACACAGCUGGUGAGGCAGCCAGCAAGGGGAAGCAAAAUCCUGCUGUUUGUUAACAGAGAAGGUCUUGUGGGGGAUGUCAAGGCUGGAGGCCGCCUGGGGCAAAGGGAUCGUGAGAUGCUAGAUUUCUCAAUCCUUGCUGAACCACGGAGGGGAGUCAGCAGAACUGCCACCUUGGACUUCCAGAGAGCAAACUUGAACCUCUUGAGGACCAUGGUUGAGAGGGUCCCUUGGGAAGUACUUUUGGAGGGCGUGGGAGCCCAGGAAGGCUGGCAAUACUUUCAGGAAGUAAUUUUAAAGGUGCAGGAGCUGAUUCCACAGAUUAUGGUCUGUGGAAGAGUGGGCAAGCUACUUAUGAUGAUUACAGGUACGUAGCAAAUAUGUGCAGGGACAAAAUUAGAAAAGCCAAAGCCCAGCUAGAACUGAGCUUGGCCACCAAGGUAAAGGGCAACAAUAAAUAUUUCUGUAAAUACAUCUACAGCAAGAGGAGGGCUAGGGAGAAUCUCCAUCCCUUCUUGGAUGCCGAGGGCAACUUGGUGACCAAGGAUCAGGACAAGGCUGAGGUACUUAAUGCCUUCGUUGCCUCAGUCUUUAAUAGCAAGACUCAUUACUUCCUGGGAACACAGUCCCCUGUGCUGGUAGAUAGGAAUGGGGACCCGAAUAGGCCAUGCAUAAUCCACAAUGAGAUGGUUUUGGACCUGCUCCGAAAGCUGGAUGCCCAAGUCCACGGGGCCAGGUGGACUGCACCUUACCUCGGUGCCAGGGUAGGUUAUGGGAUGGAUAAUGUUGGGAUUCAUUAAAGGUCAACCAGGGGAUCAGGCCCGGUCACAAUGGGUUGACAAACGGGAGAUCCUGUUUGACAAAAGAACUCACCCCACGCCACCGUGGCCAGAGGAGACUCCAGCAGCAGCAGGAACAGAUCCCGGGGAGGGAGGAAGCAGGGGCAGCUGGGCCUGCUGUGCACAUACACAGAUAGACAUGUAGAUACCUUGUCACUGCUCUUCUGCCUCCACGUUUCUGGGGGACUGGGAGUUUUGUCUUCACACAGGAACUCCGCCACAGCAGCAUUUUCCAGUCCGUGGCACCUUGAUCCCAGGAUGUGCUCCGCACCGUGCUUCUAGGGCAUCAACAUCUGGUGGUGCACAAAGGCCCCUGAAAGGAAAAGCACCCUCGCACGUUUGCACUCCUCCCACACUCCCCAGAACUGUCUCUCAAAUCUCACAUAACACACACUCUCUCAGACUCUUGGCUGCAGCCCAAUAGCACAGCAUCCCCUCUCUCACUUCAUGAGCCAAGAGGCCAUAGUUUGUCUCCCUUUUUAAGCUUUACAGACACAAUCAGGCAAGAACUUAGGUUUGCCCAUCCUGCAGCCAGGAAUGCUCCAACCUGAGGGGGGAGUGGCCGUGAGAGCAACAUCCAUGUGCAAGUGCAGCUCGUUCCUCCCCUCUGACAGGGGCAGAAGGAGGGAGGCAACAGACAAAAGCAGAAAGCGUCUGCAUAUCCCUCGUGGCUCUUAUUUCCUGCCUUACGCUGGGAAACGAGCUGAGCCGCCGGGCCUCUCCGUUAUGCUUAGCUCUGCAGCUCGGACAUCAUCUUUACACUCAGCUGUUCCUGGGCAUAAUGCUCCACACAAUGACCCUGGAGAGCCCAAAGGCCUGCCUGCCUGCUGUCACUCACCUGGAGGUUGCAGGGUGCUGUGCCUCCUGGCUGGACCUGCUGCUGCUAGGUGGCACUUGCAAGACACUGAGAGUCCACCUGCUUGGAACUGCAAGCAACAAACACAAACCAGAAAGAAAGAAGGAAGAAAGGAUUCUUUUAUGUCACAGGCUUCCACAGGCAUUAUUAAAACACGUUCUGCUGUGGAGCAAAGCUGCAAGCAUUUCACCUGGGCAAAAAAGGGGUGGAGCCUGGCUCCAGCCCUCCCCACCCUCGUUUAAGGGCUGCCUGUCUAAGGGGAAGAAUUUCUACUGGGAGAUCUGCUCUGUGCUAAUACUUUCUGAGUCCUGUUCUUCAGAAAGGGCUCUUUCUUCACUAGCUUGAGUCCUUCCCCAUUCUUAGGAAAAUUAAAAUACAGGAAAG